CCUCCGCCAGCUGAAACAAUGGUCUUUACCGACUUUUCUCCUCGCAUCAGGAAUUUGUAACAUGCCAUAUUUUUACCAAUGGGUAUAUCUGGAGAACCAAAUGUCACCACGGAACAGGGCAAUUUCAAGUUUUUGAAAAUGCCAGCGGUUUAUGCCUCCGCACAUUUCAUCGGAGCUUUCCUGUCGCUGCGUUUUGCCAUUGGAGCUUCUUCCUAGGACUGGAUUGGCCGCUAAUGGUCCCAGCUGUGCGAUUUCGUUAGCUUGCGGAGACCGCAGUUGUCAUUGAUCCAUUGAAGGAGCUUACAUACAGUAACGUUAGCCUAAAGGAAAAAAACGGCGAAAUGAUGUGCGAGGUGAUGCCCACCAUCAGCGAGGACACGGCUCAGCGGGGCUCCCAGAGCAGCGCCUCGGACCCAGACUCCCACUUUGAGCAGCUGAUGGUCAACAUGCUGGAUGAGAGAGACCGCCUGCUGGACACGCUGAGGGAGACCCAGGAGAGCCUGGGGAUGUCCCAGCAGCACCUGGAGGACGUUAUCUACGACCGGGACUCACUGCAGCGCCAGCUCAGCUCCGCCCUGCCACAGGAGUUUGCAGCCCUGACCAAGGAGCUGAACGUGUGCAGAGAGAACCUUCUGGAGAAGGAGGAGGAGAUCUCUGAGCUCAAGGCCGAGAGGAACAACACCAGGUUGCUUCUGGAGCAUCUGGAGUGCCUGGUGUCCAGGCAUGAGCGGUCACUACGUAUGACUGUGGUCAAGCGGCAGGCCCAGUCCCCCUCAGGCGUGUCCAGUGAGGUGGAGGUCCUUAAAGCGCUCAAGUCCCUGUUCGAGCACCACAAAGCUCUAGACGAGAAGGUGAGGGAGAGACUGCGGGUGUCGCUAGAGAGGGUCUCUGCAUUGGAGGAGGAUCUAACAUCAGCCAACCAGGAGAUUGUGGGUUUACGGGAGCAGAAUGCCCACAUCCAGAGGAAGGUGGUGUCGGGGGACGGGUCAGAGGACAUGCUGGAGGGCACUGAUGCCAGCCAGAAGGUACAUAGCAAGCGCCUGUCCAACGGCUCCAUGGAGUCGGACCAUGAGGCGGGCCAGGUGGUGGAGCUGCAGGACCUACUGGAGAAGCAGAACUAUGAGCUGGCCCAGAUGAAGGAGCGCAUGUCCUCCCUGUCGUCCCGCGUCUCCGAGGUGGAGCAGGAGCUGGACACCGCGCGCAAGGACCUCAUCAAGACAGAGGAGAUGAGUACCAAGUACCAGAGGGACAUCAAAGAGGUGAGGAGAGAGGCUAUGUGUCAGAAGGAGGACAUGGAAGAGAGGAUCGUCACUCUGGAGAAGCGGUACCUCAGCGCCCAGAGAGAGUCCACCUCCCUGCACGACAUCAGUGACAAACUGGAGAAUGAGCUGGCCAAUAAGGAAGCCUUCCUCAGACAGAUGGAGGAUAAGAACAGGCAGCUGCUGGAGCGUUUGGAGCUAGCAGAGCAGAAGCUGCAGCAGACCAUGAGAAAGGCUGAGACCCUGCCAGAGGUGGAGGCUGAACUAGCCCAGAGGAUAGCAGCACUCACCAAGGCAGAGGAGCGUCACGGCAGCAUCGAGGAACGCAUGAGGCACCUGGAGGGCCAGCUGGAGGAGAAGCACCAGGAGCUGCUCAGAGCUCGGCAGAGAGAAAAGAUGAACGAGGAACACAACAAGCGCCUGUCGGACACGGUGGACAGACUUCUUACAGAGUCCAACGAACGUCUUCAGCUCCACCUGAAAGAGAGGAUGGCUGCUCUGGAAGAGAAGAAUGUUUUAAUACAAGACUCGGAAUGCUACAGAAAACAGUACGAGGAUUCAAUCCAUGAAAAAACUCAUCUGGCAGAUGAGAUAGACAAGCUGAGAUCAGAGUUGGACCAGUUCCGACUGAGAACAGGCUCACUCACAGAACCCACUCUGUCACGGUAUGGGUCUCACCUGGACACGUCGGGGGAGCUCCGCUUCUCCCUGGGCUCCCUGGCUGAGACCCAGUCAGACCACUACCGGUCAGCCAAGGUCAUCCGCAGGCCCAGGAGAGGACGCAUGGGUCUCCGCAGGGACGAGAGCAAGGCUAAGUCACUGGGGGAGCACGAGUGGCGCUCUCAGCAGCUAGGCAUCCUGGGUAGCCACCCCUUUGAGAGUGAGAUGUCUGACAUGUCGGACAUUGAUGACGAUGACCGGGAGACUAUGUUCAGCUCCAUGGACCUGCUGUCCCCCGGCGGUCACUCAGACGCCCAGACCCUAGCCAUGAUGCUGCAGGAGCAGCUGGACGCCAUUAACAAAGAGAUACGACUGAUCCAGGAGGAGAAGGAGUCGACAGAGCUGCGGGCGGAGGAGAUAGAGAACCGUGUGGCCAGCGUUAGCCUGGAGGGUCUCAACCUGGCCCGUAUGCACCACCCCGGAGCCUCCAUCACCGCCUCAGCCACCGCCUCCUCCCUGGCCUCUUCCUCCCCGCCCAGCGGACACUCCACCCCCAAGCUGGACCACCGCAGCACCGCAGACAUGGAGCGCAUGGGUAUCAUGACACUGCCCAGUGAUCUGAGGAAACACAGGAGAAAGAUUGCGGCCACCGACGAUGACGGCCAGGACAAGGCUACCAUCAAGUGUGAGACGUCCCCUCCCCCCACGCCACGGACCGUACGCAUGACCCGCACACUGCCAGCCUCCUCACACAACGAGGCCCGAGGCAUUCCUGCCAACCUGGAGGCAGAGGCCAGUGCUCUGAGCAGCGUAGCCAGCAGUCAGGACUCCAUCAACAAGCAGCCCAAGAAGAAGGGCAUCAAGUCCUCCAUCGGACGCCUGUUUGGCAAGAAGGAGAAGACCAGACUGGCACAGCUGCAUGCCCACAGGGAGGCCAUCGGGCAGAGUCAAGGAGCGUCUGAUCCAGACCUGGGUCAGGACAUGGCUGUGGGGAAGCUGGGGACUCAGGCUGAGAAAGACCGCCGGCUGAAAAAGAAGCACGAGCUGUUGGAAGAGGCGAGGAGGAAAGGCUUACCUUUCGCCCAAUGGGACGGCCCCACAGUGGUGGCCUGGCUGGAGUUGUGGCUGGGGAUGCCCGCCUGGUACGUGGCAGCAUGUCGUGCCAACGUGAAGAGCGGUGCCAUCAUGUCUGCCCUGUCGGACACAGAGAUCCAGAGGGAGAUUGGCAUCAGUAACCCCCUGCACCGCCUCAAACUACGCCUGGCCAUCCAGGAGAUGGUCUCCCUCACCAGUCCAUCUGCCCCGCCAACCUCCAGAACCCCGUCAGGCAAUGUAUGGGUGACCCACGAGGAAAUGGAGACCCUCGCAGCACCCUCCUCGAAAACGAGGUCCGGGGAGUCCGAGGAGGGGAGCUGGGCGCAGACUCUAGCGUAUGGUGACAUGAACCAUGAGUGGAUAGGGAAUGAGUGGUUGCCCAGUCUAGGACUACCUCAGUACCGCAGCUACUUCAUGGAGUGCCUGGUGGACGCCCGCAUGCUGGACCACCUCACCAAGAAAGACCUCCGGGUGCAUCUCAAAAUGGUGGACAGCUUUCACAGGACGAGUUUGCAGUAUGGUAUCAUGGGUCUGAAGAAGCUCAACUAUGACAGGAAAGAGCUGGAGAGACGCAGAGAGCACAGCCAGCAUGAAAUGAGAGACGUGCUGGUGUGGAGCAACGAGCGGGUGAUUCGCUGGGUCCAGAGCAUCGGCCUAAAGGACUAUGCCAACAUCCUGCUGGAGAGCGGCGUGCACGGGGCCCUGGUCGCCCUCGACGACAACUUUGACCACACCAGCCUGGCGCUGCUCAUCCAGAUCCCCAACCAAAGCACUCAGGCACGUCAGAUUCUGGAGAGGGAAUAUAAUAACCUGCUAGCCCUGGGCACUGAGAGACGACUGGACGAGUAUGAAGAUAAUGACCUCCGGGGGCCAUCGUGGAGGAGGCAGUUCCCCUCGCGGGACGUCCAUGGGAUCAGUAUGAUGCCCGGCUCGGCAGAGACCCUCCCCGCUGGCUUCCGCGUCACCACCGGCUCACACUCCCGUAGGCUACCCCCCGAAGGUGAGCUCCCCCACAGACCCCCUGCAUGGCCAAGACCCCCACAAAGUAGACCUAACAAUUAAACUAGAGCCUUCAGUUUAGGGCACUUAGCAUGGAUGAAUGUGAAUUGCUAAAAAUGCCAAGUUUCAUGGUAAAUUGCACUCAUCAAACACUUACAAACAUGGCUAACUGCCACAAAAUGUAUUUGAUUAAGAUUGUACCUGGAUGCAUUUCAUUUCUGUGUUAGAGUUUUGGGGGGGGGGUCCUCUUGCCCCUCUCUUUACUUGGGUCUCUCUCCCGUCUAUCGGUGUAUGGAUGGAGCAUGUUGCUGACUAUACCUGUAUUUUCUCUGCUCUGGGACUGCUGCUCUGUGUGCAGUGCUCUAUGAGGCGCUGGAUGACAGUCCUGACGACAUGUAUUUGGACUGGUUUCAAGGUCAGAUAUACUGGCGCUAUACCAUGUGUCCUGCUGUUGGCCUGUGUGCCUUUACGCCCCCCAAAACUCCCCGGAUCCUGCUGUCCACCCUACUGUACCUCCUCUCUUCUCCAACUGUCUUCUCUCUCUACCUCUACUGCUCUGUUCCUCUGUUUCGUUCUGCCCCUGAUGCCAACUACAAGGGCGGCCAUUUGUUUGUCAAGGUUGUCAGGUUUUUAUAGUAGACAUAUUGUGUGUCAAGUAAUUGUUACUCAGGUUACUGUUAUUAGCACAGUAGUUGUCAGUUGCAGCCUCUGCUGCUGCCCCCUUGAAGUUAAAGCAAUGAAUCCCCUAUGCAUAUGUUAGUUGAGAUAUGUUAGUUGAGCUAUGUUAGUUGAGCUAUGUUAGUUGAGCUAUGUUAGUUGAGAUAUGUUAGUGGAGCUAUGUUAGUUGAGAUAUGUUAGUUGAGCUAUGUUAGUUGAGAUAUGUUAGUGGAGCUAUGUUAGUUGAGAUAUGUUAGUGGAGCUAUGUUAGUUGAGCUAUGUUAGUGGAGAUAUGUUAGUGGAGCUAUGUUAGUGGAGAUAUGUUAGUGGAGCUAUGUUAGUUGAGAUAUGUUAGUUGAGCUAUGUUAGUUGAGCUAUGUUAGUUGAGCUAUGUUAGUUGCCCUGUAAUAAAGAUGUAUGAUGGAAAAGAUGGAUGUUUUACAGUUGACGGUUUGUGUCGCUCCUCGCCCUGUUGUUAAAAGAGGAUGCUGGUCAAAAUCUUUGCGUUUUCAAGGGGAUGAGAGAUGUAUUGAAACUUGCGUCUGUGAUUGUGGCCCAGUGAGUUACAGCUGGACUGUAGUACAGCAGGCUGCAUUAUGCCAGAACUCACUCCGGAAUUAUGGACGCAACUUCUGAUACAAGUAAGUCUAUCGCUGACAUCCGAUUGCAGGUUUUGACCAGAGUUCUUCUCUAACACUCUGUCCCCAGUGUAAUCGAGCUGCCUUCCUGUAUCUGCCUCUAUCUGUGGUCCCUGGUCUGUGGUGGUGAUGACAUUAUCAGACUUGUUCCUGUGCGAGGUGUGAUUCACUCAAAAUGGCCACGUGCACUCCUCCUCUGAGUGUGCGAUGCAAUGUGCCUUGGCUUUGCUAGCUGACAUUUUGACUAACCUCGUUCCCGUGUGUGUGUGUGCAGUGUGUUGUAUCCACAGUAUGGUCUACUGUACUCCUAGCCCUUAUCAACUGGUUUCGAGUCAGUUUUGUUUGUCUCUCUCAUUUGUUUGUCCCUCUCACAGUGGGCAAUGGGAGCUGAUCCUGUGUCAGUUGUUAUGGGCAUAAAUUGGCCCUUUAGCAGUGCAGCGUCUGGACAGCUCUACAGUGAGGACCUACUCCUGCUGAGGGAGGAGAAGAGAGACUGUAAGCUGUAAGUCACACACAUUAUCCCUGUACAAGCUAUCAGUUGCACAUACACACAUGCUCACACACAAACUCUCCCUCUCUGUUACAUCUGUCGUUCUGCUCAGGGACAGCAAAUGACUGUGAGAAAUUGGAACGGGUGAGAGGGUAACUUGUCUUUACAGAUAACCAUGUUUGCUUGGAGAGGAGAGUCCCUGCUCUAGUGCAGGCAUUCAUGAUCAGAUGAUAGGAGUCAAAGGCAGCAGCAUGAGGCGGCCUCACUCUGUUGUCCCUCCUUUAAUCUCUGUCCAGCACAGACAACUACAGCCACAGUACACAUGGAACUUUAUUCCACAUCAGGUAACUGAUGCAAGCAGUAGAAUCAGAUAAAAAUAGAUCAAAAUACACCUUAUGGAACAGUGGCGACUGUGAAGAGACACACCAAGGUAGUAUGGCGGUAUUAUACAUUUUGUAUUGUAGAUAUGUAGUGGUGUAAUAGUGUUAAAUGAUGUACUGUUUUAUAUUUAGUUUUAUGUGUGAUGUAAGUGCCUUAAUGUGUUUGGACCCCAGGAAGAGUAGCUGCUGCCUUGACAGGAACUAAUGGGGAUCCCUAAUAAAUACAUGAAUACCCCUGAAUGUCAAGGUAGAGAGAUAUAUGGCAGCUACAUGAAUCUGUCUCAAAUGAGAUAAUGUUACACAAUUAGUAAUGUCAGCAAUAAUUCCCAUAUGAUCAAAUCCAUGUUCAUGACAACUGCACUGUGACUGUGGAUAAAGCUUCACAGUGGCACAGUGUAAUUAAACCAUACCUCCUCUCUUUCAGGUCCAGAUACUGUAUGUAGAGAAGGUCUUACUGUACCUUGGAGCUGCUGGACGGGUCAUCCUGCCUGGAACAAACAUUCUGACGAGACGCACUG